UAUGAAGGGGGCUAGCGUUGUUCGGAAUUACUGGGCGUAAAGCGUGCGCAGGCGGCCUUCCAAGUCAGGGGUGAAAGCCCAGAGCUCAACUCUGGAAUUGCCUUUGAGACUGUGAGGCUUGAGUACGGGAGAGGUGAGUGGAAUUCCCAGUGUAGAGGUGAAAUUCGUAGAUAUUGGGAAGAACACCGGUGGCGAAGGCGGCUCACUGGCCCGAAACUGACGCUCAUGCACGACAGCGUGGGGAUCAAACAGG
rnacentral:rRNA from 1 species